rnacentral:rRNA from 1 species
UGGGGAAUAUUGGACAAUGGGGGCAACCCUGAUCCAGCCAUGCCGCGUGAGUGAUGAAGGCCUUCGGGUUGUAAAGCUCUUUUGGCGGGGACGAUGAUGACGGUACCCGCAGAAUAAGCCCCGGCUAACUUCGUGCCAGCAGCCGCGGUAAGACGAAGGGGGCUAGCGUUGUUCGGAAUUACUGGGCGUAAAGGGCGCGUAGGCGGUUUGUUAAGUCAGGCGUGAAAGCCCUGGGCUCAACCUGGGAUGUGCGCUUGAUACUGGCAAGCUUGAGUGCAGGAGAGGAUGGUGGAAUUCCCAGUGUAGAGGUGAAAUUCGUAGAUAUUGGGAAGAACACCGGUGGCGAAGGCGGCCAUCUGGACUGCAACUGACGCUGAGGCGCGAAAGCGUGGGGAGCAAACAGG